rnacentral:rRNA from 1 species
UAAGCGGAGGAAAAGAAACUAACAAGGAUUCCCCUAGUAACUGCGAGUGAAGCGGGAAAAGCUCAAAUUUAAAAUCUGGCGGUCUUUGGCCGUCCGAGUUGUAAUUUAGAGAAGCGUCUUCCGCGCCGACCGUGCACAAGUCUCCUGGAAUGGAGCGUCAUAGAGGGUGAGAAUCCCGUCUUUGGCACGGAUGCCCGGUGCUUCUGUGAUGCGCUCUCGAAGAGUCGAGUUGUUUGGGAAUGCAGCUCAAAAUGGGUGGUGAACUCCAUCUAAAGCUAAAUAUUGGCGAGAGACCGAUAGCGAACAAGUACCGUGAGGGAAAGAUGAAAAGCACUUUGGAAAGAGAGUGAAACAGUACGUGAAAUUGUUGAAAGGGAAACGCUUGAAGUCAGUCGCGUCGACCGAGACUCAGCCUUGCCUCGGCUUGGUGUACUUCUCGGCCCGACGGGUCAGCGUCAAUUUUGCUCCUCGGAUAAUGGCAAGGGAAAGGUGGCACCUUUACGGGUGUGUUAUAGUCUCCUGUCGCAUGCGAGGGUUGGGAUUGAGGAACUCAGCGCGCACCUUGGUGUCGGGGCUUCGGCCCACGUCACGCGCUUAGGAUGCUGGCGUAAUG